rnacentral:rRNA from 1 species
AGUGAACGCUGGCGGUAGGCCUAACACAUGCAAGUCGAACGGCAGCACAGUAAGAGCUUGCUCUUACGGGUGGCGAGUGGCGGACGGGUGAGGAAUACAUCGGAAUCUACUUUUUCGUGGGGGAUAACGUAGGGAAACUUACGCUAAUACCGCAUACGACCUACGGGUGAAAGCAGGGGAUCUUCGGACCUUGCGCGAUUGAAUGAGCCGAUGUCGGAUUAGCUAGUCGGCGGGGUAAAGGCCCACCAAGGCGACGAUCCGUAGCUGGUCUGAGAGGAUGAUCAGCCACACUGGAACUGAGACACGGUCCAGACUCCUACGGGAGGCAGCAGUGGGGAAUAUUGGACAAUGGGCGCAAGCCUGAUCCAGCCAUACCGCGUGGGUGAAGAAGGCCUUCGGGUUGUAAAGCCCUUUUGUUGGGAAGGAAAAGCAGCAGGUUAAUACCCCGCUGUUCUGACGGUACCCAAAGAAUAAGCACCGGCUAACUUCGUG